rnacentral:rRNA from 1 species
AGCAGUGAGGAAUAUUGGACAAUGGGCGCAAGCCUGAUCCAGCCAUGCCGCGUGCAGGAAGACGGUCCUAUGGAUUGUAAACUGCUUUUAUACAGGAAGAAACAACUCUACGUGUAGAGUCUUGACGGUACUGUAAGAAUAAGGAUCGGCUAACUCCGUGCCAGCAGCCGCGGUAAUACGGAGGAUCCAAGCGUUAUCCGGAAUCAUUGGGUUUAAAGGGUCCGUAGGCGGGUUAAUAAGUCAGUGGUGAAAUCUCCCAGCUCAACUGGGGAACUGCCAUUGAUACUGUAGAUCUUGAAUUAUUAGGAAGUAACUAGAAUAUGUAGUGUAGCGGUGAGAUGCAUAGAUAUUACAUGGAAUACCGAUUGCGAAGGCAGGUUACUAACUAAUAUAUUGACGCUGAUGGACGAAAGCGUGAGUAGCGAACGGGAUUAGAUACCCUGGGAGUCCACGCCGUAAACGAUGGAUACUAGCUGUUCGGAGCAAUCUCAGUGGCUUAGCGAAAGUGAAAAUUAUCCCACCUGG